rnacentral:rRNA from 1 species
AUUGAACGCUGGCGGCAGGCCUAACACAUGCAAGUCGAGCGAGCGGCGGACGGGUGCGUAAUGUAUGGGGACUGCCCGAUAGAGGGGGAUAACUACUGGAAACGGUAGCUAAUACCGCAUACUAUCGGAUAACCCAUAUGGGAUUAGCUAGUGGGUCAGGUAAUGGCUCACCUAGGCGACGAUCCCUAGCUUGUCUGCGAGGAUGGUCAGCGGCACUGGGACUGAGACAGAGCCCAGGCUCCUGCGGAGGCAGCAGUGGGGAAUGUGGCACAAUGGGCGCGAGCCUGAUACAGCGAUGCCACGUGUAAUGAUAAGGCCCGAGGGGUGUGAAGUACUUUCAGUCGGGAGGCGUUACCGGCAGAAGAAGCACCGGCUAACUCCGUGCCAGCCGCCGCGGUAAUAC